rnacentral:misc_RNA from 1 species
AAGUCGUAACAAGGUUUCCGUAGGUCAAGUUUUGCCUACUAGAACAGCGCUAUGCACUGUUAGUCUCCCUGGGAGGCGACACACUCAACAUGCGGAAAGGCCCAUGAAGGGAAAUCCGCAGCCCGUCCCCCUUACCCGGGGAUCGGUUCAGAGGCUCAAUGAGUGUGGGUUUGGCUUUCAGCCAGGCUUGAGAUAGAGUCCGUCCCUGCUGGCAACUGCAGGGACUUGACGAAACCUGCGGAAGGAUCAUUAAAGAAUAUCAGGCUUCACAGCCCUAUUCUCACCCUAUGUAUUUGAAACUUCGUUGCUUUGGCAGGCCCCUGGCUUCGGCUGGACAGCGCCUGCCAGAGGAUCUAAACCCUUGAAUCUCUGCUGUCUGAGUACUAUACAAUAGUUAAAA